AUGUGUGGCGUACCGAUCUGGUGAAGUACUAAAAAGAAAACGUUGGUUUCACGAAACGGAAUGUUUUUUUUUUUUUUUUCCUCUCUUAGUUUUUUUUGUUUCCAUAGUUUCACGUUGUGGAGGUGUUCCAGUUUAAAAAUUCCUGCAGACACAGUCCGCACCCCCAUUGAAGCCUCAUCUCACCCUCGUGCAAGAUUGGGACCUCGCAGGCACGAGGCGGUUGCAGUGGGGAGAGCCCAGAGACCUCCUGGCCUAACACCUCCUUGAUUCCUCUAUGCUGGCCUAACGGACUGCCUUGGCAGCAAUCCAGUGGACGCAUACCAUCAAGAAACAAACAGUUAAAUACAGCAAUGGAGAAAACAUCAGAUGACUAUCCUCCCAGCAAUGGUUCUUCACCCCAGCAAGUGGCAGCUGAUUGCAGUCAAAAUUGGUGCCAGGUUCCCCACUGUCCGAGGACACGCCAAAUGGGCAGCACACCUUCCAGAGGUCUGAGUCCCAGCUCUGCAGGGCUUCUCCAGUCGCCUCCUGUCCUCGAUCUUUUCUUCUUGGUCCCCAAGCCCAGCGGUGGUGAUGGUGCUGUCUGAAAAUACUCUGUGUUGGCUCAGUGUCCUCCUGUUGCUUUUUAGUCCUUUAAUAGCUGUCGAAGCCAAUUCCCGACAUUCGAUUAUGUGUUAAAAUAACUGAUGUGGGUCCUAAUAGUUGCCUAGAUGGUGACUAAAUGAAGGUCUAGAAUCAUUUCCUAUAAUGUAGUAGGAAGAAGAUGGUUUGCAUCAGGCCUCCAAUCCAAUACUCAGGAUGCCUCUGGCAAGAAAUAAAGUGACCUGGAGGUGAACAUUCUUGUACCUUUGCCUCCAGACAAACAGCUAAUGGUGUUGGCUGGAGGAAGAGUUGGUACUCAUGGAAGGCCUUUAGGUCUCUCCAGGAUUACUAUGCACCUCGUCUCUCCAGGAUUGCUAUGGCAACCACACAACACAUGAAAAAACAAGAAAGAGAAAACAAAGAAACAACACCUUGGAAUGUAUCGAUUAAUGGGGCAGGGCUCCCUGGAAAACAUCACACAAGCUGUGUAACCACCUGAGUAGCGGUCCAUGACUGACCUGGCUUCUGUCUCUGUGUGGAACUGCAGGUAUUUUUAAAACUUAGUGUGUCAUUCUGGGCAUAUGUGUGUCCUGAUGAGAAAGAGCCAGGCAGUAGGUUGGCUGUUCCUCUGUGUGUCACUGUGCCCAGCAACUACUUGUAUCCUUGAAAUGAUUAGCAAAGCUUGAUGCAGGGUAUGAUCUGUCGUUCAUGUGAACCUUUGUUAUUGAGAGAUCAUCUCUCAGAAUGCCCUCAGUGCGUCCUCAGAAUAUGGGGGCAGACAAGCAAGAGGAAGACGUGGGACACAGGUCUUAAGGGAUCCAAAAGGUGAGAGACAUGAAGGGCACCCUCAAGACAGUGGAUAAGGGAGACCCCGGGCUGCGAUGGCAGCCCAUCCAGGCUGCAGCAAGAAACCGAUAGGUGGAGAGCUGUUUUCAGCAAGAAGCCUUCUGGCCUUGGAUCGUCUUUUAAAAUCUAGUGGUGCCUAGAUUUUAAAUCUAGUGGAGAGUUCUGCCUAGAUUCUUUUGUAGACUUGGCUUGCCUGGGUAAUGUGCUCAUAGAGCUCUUGCUUUCCUCUCAUUGCCUUAAGCA